CUUAUUGAACCAAAAUAACAGCCCAACCAUCACUACAAAAUAACAUAAAACUAAACAAACCAUUUGCCACGACUAGUAGAGGCGAUCAAAA
rnacentral:rRNA from 1 species